rnacentral:rRNA from 1 species
GACGUAGGGCGCGAGCGUUGUCCGGAUUUAUUGGGCGUAAAGGGCUCGUAGGUGGCCAACUAAGUCAGACGUGAAAUCCCUCGGCUUAACCGGGGAACUGCAUCUGAUACUGGAUGGCUUGAGUUUGGGAGAGGGAUGCGGAAUUCCAGGUGUAGCGGUGAAAUGCGCAGAUAUCAGGAGGAACACCGAUGGCGAAGGCAGCUUACUGGGCCGAUACUGACGCUGAGGAGCGAAAGCGUGGGGAGCGAACAGG